AUGUAGACUCAAUCCCUCGGGUUUCUGAGGAGGUUGGAUUUGGGUGCUUGCCUUCUGGCUCGCCUUAAAGGACUUAGCAGGAUAGCACUGUAGUCGACGUAAUAAGUCUCGUUGGUGAAAGUGUGAUGUCUGCUUACAAAUUGCCCUUGGGCACUUUUGACUCUGACCUCAAAUCAGGUAGGACUACCCGCUGAACUUAA
rnacentral:misc_RNA from 1 species